AGAAUAAGGGAUUAAAUAUCUCUUUCCUUAUGCAUCCUUGUUUUAUAUAAAAAUAUUCACAACAAAUGUAGAAUUAAAUAGGUGAUAUCCUUAUAACCUAUAACAUUGUCUCAGAAGGCUAGGCGUGUGGCUCAGUGGGCAGAGUGCCAGUCUAGCAUGCAUGAGGCUCUGGGUUCAGUCCCCUGCACGACGUAAACCCAGUGUGACAGUGCAUGCUUAUUACAUCAACACUCAGAAGAUGUAGGCAGAAGGAGUUCAAGGCUGCCCUGAGCCACAUGGCGAGUUCAAGUCCAGCCUGGUAUAUGUAAUACUCUCUUAGAAAGUGAUGUUUUAGGAACCAUUAAUAAUUUACUGCCAAUUUGACUCUAAUAAUGUGGGUUGUUUAACUGAUCUAAUAACUAAUAAAACCAUGUGUUUCACACAAGUUUUUAAUCCAGAAAAUAGAAAGAGUUCAGUACCAACAAAGUUGUUAGUGAUUAAAAAAUUGGGAAGAAGGAAGAUAACAUGAGGUAAUAAAUAGCAUUGGACUUCAGAAGGCUGCACUCAUGUAGUUCGUUUGACUUGGAAAUCCAUACAAAUGACAGGAGACCACAUUUAGUGUUUAGAACAGGGAGUAAAACAUGGGCAUGCUUGAUAAAAAAAAAAAAAA
rnacentral:lncRNA from 1 species